GACGAACGCUGGCGGCGUGCUUAACACAUGCAAGUCGAACGGAAAGGCCCUGCUUUUGUGGGGUGCUCGAGUGGCGAACGGGUGAGUAACACGUGAGUAACCUGCCCUUGACUUUGGGAUAACUUCAGGAAACUGGGGCUAAUACCGGAUAGGAGCUCCUGCUGCAUGGUGGGGGUUGGAAAGUUUCGGCGGUUGGGGAUGGACUCGCGGCUUAUCAGCUUGUUGGUGGGGUAGUGGCUUACCAAGGCUUUGACGGGUAGCCGGCCUGAGAGGGUGACCGGCCACAUUGGGACUGAGAUACGGCCCAGACUCCUACGGGAGGCAGCAGUGGGGAAUACUGCACAAUGGGCGUAAGCCUGAUGCAGCAACGCCGCGUGCGGGAUGACGGCCUUCGGGUUGUAAACCGCUUUCGCCUGUGACGAAGCGUGAGUGACGGUAAUGGGUAAAGAAGCACCGGCUAACUACGUGCCAGCAGCCGCGGUGAUACGUAGGGUGCGAGCGUUGUCCGGAUUUAUUGGGCGUAAAGGGCUCGUAGGUGGUUGAUCGCGUCGGAAGUGUAAUCUUGGGGCUUAACCCUGAGCGUGCUUUCGAUACGGGUUGACUUGAGGAAGGUAGGGGAGAAUGGAAUUCCUGGUGGAGCGGUGGAAUGCGCAGAUAUCAGGAGGAACACCAGUGGCGAAGGCGGUUCUCUGGGCCUUUCCUGACGCUGAGGAGCGGAAGCGUGGGGAGCGAACAGGCUUAGAUACCCUGGUAGUCCACGCUGUAAACGGUGGGUACUAGGUGUGGGGUCCAUUCCACGGGUUCCGUGCCGUAGCUAACGCUUUAAGUACCCCGCCUGGGGAGUACGGCCGCAAGGCUAAAACUCAAAGGAAUUGACGGGGCCCCGCACAAGCGGCGGAGCAUGCGGAUUAAUUCGAUGCAACGCGUAGAACCUUACCUGGGUUUGACAUGGAUCGGGAGUGCUCAGAGAUGGGUGUGCCUCUUUUGGGGUCGGUCCACAGGUGGUGCAUGGCUGUCGUCAGCUCGUGUCGUGAGAUGUUGGGUUAAGUCCCGCAACGAGCGCAACCCUUGUUCACUGUUGCCAGCACGUUAUGGUGGGGACUCAGUGGAGACCGCCGGGGUCAACUCGGAGGAAGGUGGGGAUGACGUCAAGUCAUCAUGCCCCUUAUGUCCAGGGCUUCACGCAUGCUACAAUGGCUGGUACAGAGAGUGGCGAGCCUGUGAGGGUGAGCGAAUCUCGGAAAGCCGGUCUCAGUUCGGAUUGGGGUCUGCAACUCGACCUCAUGAAGUCGGAGUCGCUAGUAAUCGCAGAUCAGCAACGCUGCGGUGAAUACGUUCCCGGG
rnacentral:rRNA from 1 species